rnacentral:lncRNA from 1 species
UAAUUCGGUUCCUCUUGUCGCAGAGUUCAUGCAAAAGAGAAAUUCGAAAUGAAGGCUGGGCUGCUGAUGUACGAAAAGGAAAUAACAGCAGACAUUUAUUUCCUACAAUUCAAUUUUAGUUCUUUCCACCCUUGUUUGUUUUUGUAGAAAAUGGUGCGCGCAUACGUUCAUUCCUUCAAAUCCGUAACAUGAGGGAAACAGAAACAAGCUAUCAUCACCUUAAUCAGUGAUCCCGAAUUUGAGAAAAAAGUUUUCAAUUAUUUGUUUUACGAAAAAUGAAUUUUAUUAUUUACGCAUAUUAAUAUUACCCUUUUCUUCUUGUUAUAGGAUCUAAUGUUUACAUUAAGGGUUGAUAUAUUUUAUAAGUAAUUAAAUUAAGAAGAAUGAAGUACAGCAGAUUUGAAUGAGGAAAAAAAAACUAAUUCUGCAUUGCCGAAUUCGUUUAACUGAUAUUUUACAUUCCGAACAAAAAGAUAGCUAAUUUAUUAUUAUUUCGAAGUUCAGUCACAUUGUUAAUCACAUAUUUUAUCAAAUGAUUCGAUACACGUAUUCACAAGAGAUUGGACUAAAGGAAGAAGAUCAAAGCUUCACAGAUGAGAUGCAGAUAUAACAGAUUUCGAAGAUAUUGAUAUUUAAAUAGACUGAAGUUAUACUUGGUUAAUUAUACACAGAAAUUAAUCGUGCUAUUGUUAAAUUAAUACUUUCGUGGUAUGGAU